UACCAGCUCUCCGAGUGGUAGGGGUGAUUAUUGGGCUUAAAGCGUCCGUAGCCGGCUUGGCAAGUUUCCUGUUAAACUCUGCGACUUAAUCGUUGAAUCGCGGGAAAUACUACUAGGCUAGGAGGCGGGAGAGGUCAACGGUACUUCUGGGGUAGGGGUGAAAUCCUAUAAUCCCGGGAGGACCACCAGUGGCGAAGGCUGUUGACUAGAACGCGCUCGACGGUGAGGGACGAAAGCUGGGGGAGCGAACCGGAUUAGAUACCCGGGUAGUCCCAGCUGUAAACGAUGCGGGCUAGGUGUUGGGAUGGCUACGUGCCAUUUCAGUGCCGCAGGGAAGCCAUUAAGCCCGCCGCCUGGGGAGUACGGCCGCAAGGCUGAAACUUAAAGGAAUUGGCGGGGGAGCACCACAAGGCGUGAAGCUUGCGGUUC
rnacentral:rRNA from 1 species